UACAGAGGUCCCAAGCGUUGUUCGGAUUUAUUGGGCGUAAAGCGCGCGCAGGCGGUCCUUUAAGUCUGGUGUGAAAGCCCCCGGCUCAACUGGGGAGGGUCACGCGAUACUGAUCGACUCGAAGGCAGGAGAGGGUAGUGGAAUUCCCGGUGUAGUGGUGAAAUGCGUAGAUAUCGGGAGGAACACCAGUGGCGAAGGCGACUACCUGGCCUGUUCUUGACGCUGAGGCGCGAAAGCUAGGGAAGCAAACGGG
rnacentral:rRNA from 1 species